rnacentral:misc_RNA from 1 species
AUCAAUGGCAACUUCAUAUCUGAUGAAGGAAUUGAUGAGGUUAAAGAUAUUUUUAAGAAUUCACUUCAUGUGCUUGGUCCUUUGGAUGACAAUGAUCCUGAAGGAGAAGAUUAUGACGAAGAGGCUGAUGAAGGAGGCGAUAAUGAGAAUGAUUUGGAGACCAGACUCAAGGAUCUUGAUAUCAAGCAGGAAGAAUAAGCCAAGUCUAAAUUCUUGUUAUAAGCUAGUUUAGCUUAUAAAUCUUAUCAUUGUGUAGGUUAGAUUUCAUUCCCAUUUCCUGCCAAAAUGUCAGGUUCAAACACUUCUUCGGUCCAACCUGUG